rnacentral:rRNA from 1 species
UACGGAGGGUGCGAGCGUUGUCCGGAAUCACUGGGCGUAAAGGGCGCGUAGGUGGCCUGUGGAAGUCUGCGGUGAAAGCCCGGCGCUCAACGCCGGGUCUGCCGUGGAUACUCUCGGGCUUGAGCUUACUAGAGGCAGAUGGAAUUCCGGGUGUAGCGGUGGAAUGCGUAGAGAUCGGGAAGAACAUCAGUGGCGAAGGCGGCCUGCUGGGCUGUUGCUGACGCUGAGGCGCGACAGCGUGGGGAGCAAACAGG